rnacentral:rRNA from 1 species
GCGCAGCAGUCGCGAAUCUUCGGCAAUGGGCGCAAGCCUGACCGAGCGACGCCGCGUGCGGGAUGAAGGCCUUCGGGUUGUAAACCGCUGUCAGAGGGGAUGAAAUGCCGGGGAGCAAUCUUCCCGGUUUGACAUAUCCUCAGAGGAAGUACGGGCUAAGUUCGUGCCAGCAGCCGCGGUAAGACGAACCGUACAAACGUUAUUCGGAAUCACUGGGCUUAAAGGGUGCGUAGGCGGCCCGGUAAGUUGGGUGUGAAAUCCCCUCGGCUCAACCGAGGAAUUGCGUCCAAAACUGUCGAGCUUGAGGGAGACAGAGGUGAGCGGAACUCAGGGUGGAGCGAUGAUAUGCGUUGAUAUCCUGGGGGAACACCAGUAGCGAAAGCGGCUCACUGGGGUCUCUUCUGACGCUGAGGCACGAAAGCCAGGGUAGCGAACGGGAUUAGAUACCCGUGUAGU